GAUGUGUGAUUCUAUCAUCGUCACGUCAAUAGAACCAUUUUUGCAAAAGAUUUGACAGGCAGUGACACAUAGAGGCACAAAGCAGAAUUUCAAAUCACAGUUUUUUCUAAAAAUUUCGUAAAAUCCUGUAUAGUUUUGGAAUUUUUUUAUUGUAAUACAAUGGUGACCUGUUCCGUCCUUGAUUGUGAUGUAAACCAGAGAAAUAAUCCCGCAAAAUAUUCAUUUCACAGAUUUCCGACUAACGAAGAUGUAAGAAAAACAUGGCUCAAAUUAAUUAAUCGUCCAAAUUGGAUUCCAACUAAAUAUGCCACUUUAUGUAGCAAACAUUUUGAUAGUAAAUGUUUUCGAAAAAUUGGAGCCAGAAUCACGUUGAAAAAAUGUGCAAUCCCUACAGAGUUUGUUCCGGUAAGUUUAAUUAAAAUAAUACUAUUUCUGGCAAUAAAUAUUUUCAUUUUCAUUUUCUUCUGAUGAUGUUUCGUUGGUUAGUAAUGUCAAUUUAUUACCUUGAUCUGGUUGUUUUCAUUGUUUUGAUAAAAAAUGUUUAACUAUAAGUUAUAAUUAAACUAUGAUUUCUAUGAAAUUUUUACAUUAUUUUUUACAUUAUCGUCAGAAUUAUCAUUUUUAAUUAUUGACUUACUCUUACUAAUUAGAAAUCAGAAAGUUUGUAUGGAUGUCUUGAUGUUUGUUGCUCUUUCAAUUAAAUCAGUUAAAUCAUUUUAA